rnacentral:rRNA from 1 species
GAUGAACGCUGGCGGCGUGCCUAAUACAUGCAAGUCGAGCGAACAGACGAGGAGCUUGCUCCUCUGACGUUAGCGGCGGACGGGUGAGUAACACGUGGAUAACCUACCUAUAAGACUGGGAUAACUUCGGGAAACCGGAGCUAAUACCGGAUAAUAUAUUGAACCGCAUGGUUCAAUAGUGAAAGACGGUUUUGCUGUCACUUAUAGAUGGAUCCGCGCCGCAUUAGCUAGUUGGUAAGGUAACGGCUUACCAAGGCAACGAUGCGUAGCCGACCUGAGAGGGUGAUCGGCCACACUGGAACUGAAACACGGUCCAGACUCCUACGGGAGGCAGCAGUAGGGAAUCUUCCGCAAAGGGCGAAAGCCUGACGGAGCAACGCCGCGUGAGUGAUGAAGGUCUUCGGAUCGUAAAACUCUGUUAUUAGGGAAGAACAAAUGUGUAAGUAACUAGGCACGUCUUGACGGUACCUAAUCAGAAAGCCACGGCUAACUACGUG